rnacentral:lncRNA from 1 species
GCAAGGGUAAGUUUGGUGCUACCUUGUAGAAUAGAUAUUAAUUCAUUUUUGAAAGAUAUUGGUAAAAUAUAUUAAUAGUCUAUAUAAUAGGAAAUUCAGGAGGACGGAUGAGUGAUUUAGUUAUUAAAAGUGGUUAAUUACAGAAUUACGAUUAGAAUUUGGAGAAUCAAGGGAAAGUAUAUAAGAGUUGUAGAAGUUAAUUAGGGUGCCAGAUUGUAAUAGUCAUGAGCCGAGGACCAUCGCUAUGAUAGUGUGAGCCAGGGUAAGCUUGGUGCUACUUCUUUUUUUUUGUUUGUUAUUCUCUUUGAAUAAGAGG